rnacentral:misc_RNA from 1 species
GAUGAAGAACGCAGCGAAAUGCGAUAAGUAGUGUGAAUUGCAGAAUUCAGUGAAUCAUCGAAUCUUUGAACGCACAUUGCGCCCUUUGGUAUUCCUUAGGGCAUGCCUGUUUGAGCGUCAUUUAAACCUUCAAGCUAAGCUUGGUGUUGGGUGACUGUCCGCUUCACGGCGGACUCGCCUCAAAAUUAUUGGCGGCCGGUACAUUGGCUUCGAGCGCAGCAGAAACGCGAACUCGGGCCCGUCGUAUUGGCUCCCAGAAGCUAUCUUCACAAUUUUGACCUCGGAUCAGGUAGGGAUACCCGCUGAACUUAAGCAUAUCAAUAAGCGGAGGA